UGAUCCUCGUAACUCCACAAAAUUUCCUGACCCUGACAAGUCAGCACAAUAUUCAGGAAUGGGAAGGAAGUUAGGACCCCAGUGAGACGUUUAGAAGUUAACAUUAUUAGCUAGUCAUUUGGAAGAAUUCAGCUGGGAUAAGGAAGGAGGAAAAAUGCUGAGGAACCUUUUCCUGAGAACUGUUUUAAUGUGUUACCUCCAGAACCCAAGGCUGUUACUUUGGAUGGGAAUGACUUUCAGCUAUUAUCAGUCUGGGUGAGAUUCGAAAUAAGAAUUGGUGCUUUUUUCAAAAUUUUUGCACCAUCAGUAUGUCCCAUCCCCUAAUGUGUCUUAUAAUAACAUAACAUCUUUUACAGAAAUAGCCAUCUUCAGAGUCGAAAACACAGAAGUCAUUAUUUCUAACUCCACUGCUCUUAGAUAGCUCUUCAGUCUUUCUGAAUAAUGGAGACAAUGACUUGUGAUGGAUUAAACUGUUCUGACACA